CAGGUGCUGCAUGGCUGUCGUCAGCUCGUGUCGUGAGAUGUUCGGUUAAGUCCGCUAACGAGCGCAACCCUCGCUGUGUGUUACAAGUGUCACACGGUACUGCCGGUCUUAAGCCGGAGGAAGGUGGGGAUGACGUCAAGUCAGCAUGGCCUUUAUGUCCUGGGCUACACACACGCUACAAUGGCCAACACAAUAGGUUGCUAAGCCGCGAGGUGGAACCAAUCCUCAAAGUUGGUCUCAGUUCAGAUUGCAGGCUGCAACCCGCCUGCAUGAAGAUGGAGUUGCUAGUAACCGCAGGUCAGCUAUACUGCGGUGAAUACGUUCCCGGGGCUU
rnacentral:rRNA from 1 species